UUGAUGUGGUGCAGAGGAGUGGAACCCAGGGAUUCAUGCAUGCUGGGCAAGCACUCUACCACUGAGCCACACUCCCAGCCUCACUCAUAUUUUUAAAAGAUGUCCUGGGACUGCCCACCUUCAGGCAGGACCCAGGUAUAGAGCCCAAGCAGACUCAAGGGCAAGGGAGACAAGGCUGGCUUAUGAGAGGAACAGACAUGGCAGAGUCCCAAUUCUGCCUCCAUUCUGCUGCAAAGAACUUCCUGUCAGCAUUGUAGCACCUCAUUGUUUUAUUAAACUUUUGUUAAGUUUUAAGAAUAGAGGCAGGUUGGAGCUGGGAAUAUGGCCU